AGAAAAAAAAAGAAUCCCCUCCAUCUCUCUCUUCCAACAACAGAUAAAAAAGAAGUAUAUAAAAUGUGAUUACACAGGCAACAUGUUCAUAGGCACUGAUACGCCGGGGCACACUUUAUUUUUAGAGUGUUGCAUUACUAAUGGAUAUACAGCAGGAUGAGGAUUUACACCCGCCCACGUGCAGAGCAGGCAGAUAUGAGCAAGCCGAGUCUAUGCAUCACAUUUAUGUGCAAAGCAUAAAAUACUCACAUCUCCAAAAACAGAAGCAAAGAAAAGGAAGAAACUAAUUUUUUGGGGUAGGGGAAAGAAUAGCCAGGAGAGGAGGCACCUUUAACCUGCUCCUGCUGGACCGCGGAGGACUAAGGAGUGUGUCUUCUGCUCAGUGUGUAUGUGUGUGUGUCAGAGACAGAUGGAGGAGCCCGCAGCACGAAAGGCUGUCUCAGGGUGACGACUUCUGAGACUGAACGCACAGUGGAACCUCUGAUCUCAACAUUUCGGAGACAUCCUGUUGGGCUGCAAAAUUAAACCACUGGAAGUUGGGGUCAAAAGGAGUUUCUUUCAACCUACCAGGAGAGAUUAAGACUAAAUGAGUGAAGAUUUUAAAGAAAUGGUGGUGUUGUUGCGGCAUGGCUCCCAGGAUCUGACCGCUGAGUGAAGACGUCAGUCAGUGGACACUGACGGCAGCGGAGAACAGCUUGGAGGGACAGAAAGACAGAUGAAAGGAUGGACUCUGACCUUCCCCCUAUCCGUUCAAUUCCCCCUGAAUAGUUUCACAAAACCAGCACAAAGUGAUUGGUGAUUCACCAGAGGUUUAUGCCCUAAACACUACACAUGGAGGAUAUGGUGGCCAAAUCAGGGAAUCAAGCUGUGGUCUUUGUCAGAGAGAAAUAAAACUGAAAAAUUAGUUAAGUGAGCAGAUGAGCGCAGAUAAAUAAAACUAUAAAAUAGCUAUUUUGACACAACGAUCUAAAGGGUUGUAUCUGUAUCACACACUUAAUAAAGAAAAAUGGUGGUUAAAUAAAAAAAGAAAGAUUUUGUUUUUCUUGCAAAAUAAAGUGCAGUCACUGUUUUAUUGGUGUUGAAAUGUUUGCAUUACCUUAAAUAAAAAUACACUUGUUGGCCAUUCUGUUAGAUAGAUAAACCUAAUUGCUUAUUUGAGUUGCGACCAUGUAAUUGGAUGCAUUGUUGUGAUUGCAAUAUAUCCAAACAUUGAGUUGCUGCCUUUCAAAACGACUUGACAAUUCUGAAGUUUAAACUGAGCUUCAUAAUUUUGGAGACAGGAGAUUUACUUUGAACAUUGUGUGGUUGUUGGUGCUGGUCUGAGUAUUUCAGAAACUACUGAUUUACUGGGAUUUUCACACACUCAGAUUUUGGUCUUUUAUUUGAGAAUCCUCGUGAGCUCAGUCCUUUAAUAGGAUCCAGAUUGAAGUGGGUGUCACCAUCAGAUUCCAUAAAGUUAGGAAACCAAGAAUCCUGGGUUCUUCUUCUGCCAAAUUGGGCAGCCAAACUGCACCAACUCAGCAGAGCUCUUCAGAUACCAUAACCUGAUCCAACCCCACCACUGGUUUAGGAGAGUUAGGAAUUGCAUUUCAACUUGGAAUUUGUUAAAGGAGUUCCAGUUCAGCUGUUUUAAUACCCACCCACACACUAUUCAGCAUCAACAUGCAAAAGCUUUUAAACGUGAAUCAUAGCAAAAAGUGAAGAUGGAAGAGGACAAUAACAGAGAUGAACUAAGAAGGUUGUGUGGGGACACAUUUUUUUCAUACUUAAUUCUUUCUGUCUGGUAUUCUAACGAUUUUUUUCUGCAACUUUUAAUAUAAUUUCUGUUUCUGUGUGCACAUGGAAAGUACUGAUUCUAAGCAACAGUUUUAUGAAGGUUUUACACAGAUAUUAGUGGAACAAAGGUGGUGGUAUUUUGUGUUUUCCAGAUACGUGGCGCCAUUUUGUAGCACAAUCAAGUAUCUAUGUCAUCUUAAGUUGUUAUAAAAAUGCUGUACACAUCAAAAGAUUGCGUAAAAGAAAACUGACUGUCUAAUUUGACACCUCAAAAAAGGCCUGUCUCCUUAAUAAGUUCCCAUUCUUUCCAACACUUCCCCUUUAUCAGAUCAUGACAACAGUGCUCCUCCAUUAUGCCACUUACAGCUAGUUCUAGGAGUGUUGGACUGAGCACUAGCUAUUUUGCUAAUUGCUGCUGCCACUAGUUUGGUGGAGCUGUGUUGGUGAGGUGCUUAAUGAGGCAGAAGUUCGACUGGGAACUCAAGCUCCAAGCAUCUCUGAAUGGCGGCCUUGGGAGAUUCAAUAAUUUCUAAAACAUGCCUGAAAGAAUCAAAAGUGCAUGAUUUUUGAUGAGGGAAUGACAUUAAAAUAUUGUAUAAAGCUCAAAGUCAAUUUCAAAUAAUAUCUCUCCUGGAAAGUCACAGGAAGUUAAAUCAGAACUUUUUAUCUGUCAAAGGGUCAUAUUAAUUAAGGGGGACUUCAUUUUUUUUGUGGCAAAGAAUUGAGAAGAAUACCACAACUUUAAUAUGACAGCAGGUAACUUUUUUUUUUCAAAAACACAUGACUAAUUGCUUUUUUGCCAUCUUGAACACUCUGUCAUGUACAUAAGAACUGAUUCUUAAUUGACAGUGUUGCAGACAUAGAUUUUUGUUCAAUAAUGACAGAGCUGAAAGUGCUUCUUCCAUCAAGAUGAGCUAGAAGUGAAGGGAGGAGGACAACGACAAGGCAAGGGACAUUCAGAAGACAUGAAACAAGUCUUUGUCUGAGGUUUAACAGGACAGAGUAAAUGUAAGAGUGUCAGGCAUGAGAAUAAAACCCCCAGAACUCUUCCUGCUAUGCUCUACAGCCACACUGACAAUGUCUACUGUCAUGCUGUCAGCUGAAAGCAACAUUACCACAGAAUAAAAGCUAACAAAUUAAUGAUGCAUCCAUUCUUCUGCUUCAUGUGGAGAAGUACCCCUGCUUUCAGUUUUUAACCUCAUUUCUAUGACAUUGCCAUCCACCCAAAAGCUAAAGCCUUUUUCAGCUUCUUGCUUCCAGGAUUUUGUUUAUAAUUCAUAGUUGAGGUCCACAGGUGAUGGUGUGAUUGUAGAUGGAAUCAUAAAUGGAGAACUGUCAGUUCAGCUACUUUGCCACCAUAUCAGAUCUAUCACUCUAUCACUAUCACUCAGAAAUAAGAUACCAAAUAUAGUCCCUUGGAAAAGUAUUCACUUCUUUAGUUGACAUUUGUAGUCACCAUUGCUUUCAUUCUUAAGCUAAUUUGACUUAAAAUAUUCUUCUCGGGAAAAUAACUCAGUCAGAUUGGAUGCAGAAGGUCUGUGAACUGUCAUAAUAAAGAUUUUCCAAAGAUUCUCAAUUGCAUUUUAGUAUGAAAUUUGACUAGACCAUUCUAGAGCAUGAAUAUUCUUUGAUUUAAACAAAAUUUAUCUCAGAAUGUGUUUUCACUGUUUUUGCAUUGCUGGGAGGUGAAUUGACAUCUCAGCUUCAAGUCCUUUGCAGUCAAGGUUUUCUACAAUGGUUUUCUUCGAUUUAACUUCAUCCAUCUUCCAUAUCCUUGGUUCUGGAUAGAACCAUCUAUAUAGCAUCAUGCUGCCAACACUAUGUAACACCACAGGGAGACUGUGUUUAGAGUGAUACAAAGACAUCUUUCAGCCACACAAAAUAUUUUGUUUGUAAAAGUAAAAAAGAGUUUCAAUUUGGUUUAUCCAAGAUGUUGUGUUUCCUAUAUAGAUUGUGGCUAAGUGCAACUUUUUACAGUUUCCCAAGGACUUUCUUCUGGAUGAAGAUUCCUUAAAGAACAAAAAUGUGUCCUGUUGACAAAUUUUCCUAUCUGAUCUGUAGAUCUCUGUUGGUUCUCUGAAGUUACAAUGAGUCUCUCUGACAGUUUAGGAAAAUCUUAAGGUUUGCAGUUGUAACAUGCUCUUACCUUUCUCAUACAGUGGGUAAGACUUUUGUGAGACAUUCACACCAUUAAGUUAUUGUCUUCUAACUCUGCCACUGCUUUACCUCUGACCUUUCUGUUCUGUUUUCAUUUUCUUUGUAAGGUUUUCUUUUCAUUCAUGUUCUCUAGCUGACCACUGAUGUAAUCACUAAGAGGUUGUAUUUACACUGAGUUUCAUAUAAUUGAAGCAAUAAAAUAAUUACCUAUCAA